rnacentral:lncRNA from 1 species
CCUCCAGGUGCAAAGUGGGAAGUAUUAAAGGUACGACAUUUGGAGGCCCCAGCGAGAAACGUCACCGGGAGAAACGUCACCGGGCGAGAGCCGGGCCCGCUGUGUGCUCCCCCGGAAGGACAGCCAGCUUGUAGGGGGGAGUGCCACCUGAAAAAAAAAUUUCCAGGUCCCCAAAGGGUGACCGUCUUCCGGAGGACAGCGGAUCGACUACCAUGUGGGUGCCCACAAAAAUUCCACCUCUGAGUCCUCAACUGCUGACCCCGGGGUCAGGUCCAGAUUUUGAACAAAUCUCGCUAGAGAUUGAACAGAGCUGCGCCUGGAUCCCGCCACAGUGAGGAGACCUGAAGACCAGAGAAAACACAGCAAAUUCACAGGCUGCUCCCUAGAAUACUGAAGAAGAAACUCUAGGAGUGAGACCCAACAAUCUGUAUUUAACAAGUCCCCAGGCCCCUGGAUCCUCCUGGAAUCCCCGAUCCCU